ACGAACAAUUAAAGAUGAUGCAGUGCCGCCAAGCUUAGAUAACGUCCGAGAGGAAAUUUCUCAAGAUGAAAAUUUAUUAACUUUUCUUUCGGUGCAAAAUGCAUCUUCUAAAGUUCAAACUAGUUAUGAAAUUUUAGAAAAACGAAAACUUCUGGUUAAGAAUGUAGCGGACACGGGCUCGCCCGAGAGCCAAAGUUACGUUAAUAUAGAUUACUUAUUAUAUUCUUACUUUUUAAUAGUAUUACUAUGAAACUUUAUUACCCUGUUAUUGUUGUGUUUGUAUUUGUCAUUAGCGUUGCGCCCCCAACAGCCCGCUUGUUUAUUUAUUACUAUUACUAUUAUUGUAAAUAGUUGCUGCCAUGACAGUCCGCAUCUCCUCGAGACUUCGUCAUCUUCAGAUUCACAAACACGAUCAUCAAACUAAAAGAAAGUUGGAUAUAAUAAUUCACCAGCGACGUAGGAUGCUGCUUUACCUUCGCGCUCAAUCGAUGGAGCGUUAUGUUAAGUGCUUGGAAGUUCUCGAUCUGCAACCAAUCGUCGUUUAUAA